rnacentral:rRNA from 1 species
UACAGAGGGUGCGAGCGUUAAUCGGAUUUACUGGGCGUAAAGGGCGCGUAGGCGGUUUAGUGAGUGUGAUGUGAAAGCCCCGGGCUUAACCUGGGAAGUGCAUCGCAAACGACUAAACUGGAGUAUAAGAGAGGGUGGCGGAAUUUCCGGUGUAGCGGUGAAAUGCGUAGAGAUCGGAAGGAACGUCAAUGGCGAAGGCAGCCACCUGGCUUAAUACUGACGCUGAGGCACGAAGGUCAGGGGAGCAAACGGG